GCUGCUGGCUAGUGCCGCGUACAUACACGCGGAUCUAGCCCGAACCCGGAAGUUAAGCCCGCGAGCGCAGAUGGUACUGCAUUGGAGACGAUGUGGGAGAGUAUGCCGCCGCCAACA
rnacentral:rRNA from 1 species